rnacentral:lncRNA from 1 species
GUGACUCAACAUCUACAUACCUAUCUCCAAUGGGUCUAUUCCUAACAAUUGAAUACGAUAGAACCACAGGUAAUGCUAGUAAAGCGGAAUUACCCAUAUCCUCCAAAUUCGAUUGAGUAGUAUUCUUCAAUAGAGACCCAAAACCAAAUUCAAAAAGUACAGUACUAAACUGAAUCUCCACCAUGACACUAAAUCUGUGCUGACUUUUCCUCACAAAUUUCGUCCAACCCUGCAAGGAUGUAUAAUUGGGACCUCUUCCGCCCCUUCAAUAUAAUACGAACACCUUUCUAAGCCUUCAAGAUUCCACCUCCUCCAGAGAAUGUGACCCUUUUGAAUAAAGAAUAUUUAACGAAAUGAGAUUCUUCUUCAAGUAUGAAAUAUGUCGAACGUGAUAAAGUGUUCUACAUGUUCCAUCCACCAACUUCAAUCUGACUUUACCAAUACCAACUACCUGACAAGGUUCAUUGUUAUCCUUGACAACGACACCUUGCAUCACUAUUUCAUAUAUUUCAAAAAAAUUCCGAUUAUGACACAUAUAGAAUGCACAAACUAUAUCCAAAAUUCACUCAUCUUUAGGUUUGGAGUUCAUGUCAAAAAUUGUCAAUAGAUCUCCAUAACUCGGUAGUUCUCAACUAUGUUGGUUUUGUCUGAAGUAUUGGAUUGCUUCUCAUGAUUUGUAAUUAAAUUACUUUUGUUCUACAAUUUGUCGCAAUCCUUCUUAAUGUGUCAUUUCUUCUUAUAAUAAUAAUAAAUCUGAUUACUGAAAUUUGACCUCAAUUUACCCCGUCUAUGAUCACCAUGAACAACAAGGUCUUUCCAUCUCUGGCUUUAGAUCCAACUAGAUGUUUCAUCUUCUCUUUUAAAAACAAGGCAUCAUACGUAUUUUCAAUGGUGAGAAUCACAACUAUACAAUAUCAUGUUUCUAAAUGAAGUAAAUGAAGUGGGCAGCGAACAGUAAAGGAUUAAAGCUAAGUAUUCUUCAUAAUACUUUAUAUCUAAAGUCUUCAAAUCAGCGAUGAUCUCUUUGAAUAUAGCCAGAUGAUCUUCCAAAAUCCACUUUCUGCCAUAUGAUGAGAAUACAACUUCUGCCUCAGAUACAAUUUGCUUAUCAAACUUUUAGUCAUGCACAAUUGUGUUAACUUCAACCACAAUGCAACUACUGUUUUCUUAUUCAAAACGUCCUGAAAAAUAUUGUUGAAGAGAUGAAGAUGGAUCUAUGAAGUGCCUUCUGAUCCUUUCAUCAUCCAAGUUGUGGGCAUUCUGUUAAAUCCCAACAACGCAUUAUCCAAAUUCAUUUGCACGAGUACAGCUUACAUCUUUACUUGCCAUAACGAAAAUAUUGUAUUGCGAUCCAAGAGCGAAAUUUCAUACUUCAUAAUUGUCACCAGUAAAAAAAAUCUAGAAAAAAUCACAACUAACAACUUUGAUAUCGCUUGUUGGGAAAUAAAAACGGAUUGAUGUAAUAUAUGAUAUGAUAUGAAGUAUGUGAUCGCAAACAAACAACAAAAUAAAAGGCAAAAAUUUAAUUGGUGUAUGAAUGGAAUAUUUUAUUCAAUUAACGAAUAUGGAGAAAAUAAAUAUAAUAACUUUUUUUUGUGCUUGCACAAUUAUUUUAUAUUUCAGUGAUAAAAAACUUGUGAAAAUAUUCUAUUAUUUAUAGAG